GUUCAGCUUUUCCCUGUGUCUUGAGAAACUAGGCGUUGUCUCAGCUACAUCAGGGGAACACUGAUCUUUUCAUUUGUUCUCAUACAUAGUUUCCCCAUUCAAGUUAUAUAGGUCACCCAAAAGAUAGGGAGGGAUAAGUUAACUUCUUCGUCGUCAAAGUGCCCCACGUUCUAAAACGUUGGUGACAACAUGAUCUAUUUCUAGAGGUAUGAAGGUUUGGAGCACUCUAAAAGAAAUGGAGAAGGUGAAGCCAGCCAGCCAUGAGAUUACGUGAUGGACAGAGUUGCAGCAGGUGAGGAGCAAAGAGAGAGGGAGACACAGAAUCCGAAGCAGGCUUCAGGCUCCAAGCUGUCAGCACAGAGCCUGAAGCGGGGCUUGAACCCACGAACCGCGAGAUCACGACCUGAGCCAAAGUUGGACGCUUAACCGGCUGAGCCACCCAGGCGCCCUGUUGUCUUCUCAUCAUAUGACACACAGCAAAAUAGAAUCGGGCUCUCAGCAGAACCCAAUCACGUUGGUACCGUGAUCUUGGGCAUCUGAGUCCUGUGAACUGGGAGACAUAAAUGUUUGCUGUUGAAGUCACCCAGUCUGUGGUAUUUUGUUAUAGAAGCCCAAGACUAAAAUCCCUUGAAACCUGUGGUAACUGACACAGCCACCAGUCCCACCGGGCUCUUCUGGGCAUGUUGCUCCCAGUGUGUCACAGGCCAGGAAGCGCUGCUGGGGCACAAGGGCCUUCUGAACCUCAGGGAUUAUCAACAGAGCUCAGUAGCAAUGUGGUGUUCCCUAUUGUAUAUGAAUUUUUAAUAUGUCCCAUAAGCUGAGAACAGUGGCCCAAAGCUUUUUACACUCCCUGUGCCUCCAGGUAACCUCACCUGCAAAAUGAAGAUAAUGCAUCUGUUUUUGCAGGAUUGUUCUGGAGAUAGCAAACGAUGCUUUGAACGGUGCCUACAAUAUUGUCACUCAACAAAAACAACAACGCCAAGCUGUAGUAGAGGUAGCAUCAGCCGCACAAGUAGUAUCAUUUCAGCCUUGCCCAGACAGAUCCUCUCUAGUGGGGUUAUUCACAAGGUGGGUCCAUUCUCAGAGGUCACUCUGGGGCUCGAGCCAGCCUCCAGGAAAGUUAGAUCUGCAGUCAAACCCCAGACGGGCCUUUGGAUCCAACACAGCACAUUGAGAAUUUUGUCCACAAAAAGAAGUAAACCAUUUAUGUAUUUUUGUCUUUAAUGUGUAUUAAGUAACACUGAGAGAAUGCCCCCAAAUGUUAACAAACCAGAACACUACCCAAACUAGAGAUUAAUGACUGUUGUUUCCCCAGAGCCUGGCCAAGCUUGCUUUGGGCGAUUUACUGCCCUAUCAUCCUGGUGCUUCUGGAAUCCCAGUGUGUGCCCGUGUCACAUGCAUCAUGCAGAUGCCUCCCAUGGAGGAGGGAUCUGGAAGCACCAGACAGCUUUGCCACUCUUCUUCAGGCUCUAGAUUGCUUCUCCAGGAAAUUUCCCCUCUCCAAAAACUAUUCUCAAUGUCCCUCUUGUGUACUUAUGUUCCCACAGCAUGGGGGAUUUUUCUUACCACCCCACAUCAUUCAUUGGCUUUUUCUCUUCUGUAUUUCCCAACAGGUUGUAAGCUGCCUCAGGGCAGGGUCUUAACCCUUUUUCACUUGUAUCUCUAGCACCUACCAGAGUGCCCGGUGAUAGGUGCUCACUUUGCAUUUGCUAAAUGAAUUACUGAAUACUAGAGGUAGAAGCAGUGGCGGGCAGGGUUGACAUGCGAAGCUACUAACAACGUCAGGAUUUCCAACAGGAAACAGAGGGGCUUUAUGUGGCAUGGAAGUCUGAAAUGGCUCCACACUUCUAAAGAGCUUUAGUGACUCGAUGGGCAUUUGAAACUACCUGUGGACAUGCUGGUUUUAAAUUAACACUUUACAACUCUGAUUGUGACCUCUGUAUUUACAAAACAGCAGCUAAAACCACCACUGUACUACUGGUAGGUAUGUCCUCCCUGAAAGAAUGAGCUGGCCCAAGUGACAAGAUGUUCCUGUAAAGCGGCAGAAUACCAUUUGCAUCUGAAAAUCUGGCACCAGGGGUACUGCGUGAGGUGACAGCCAAAACUGCCUUUAGAGAUAAAGUGGAGAUGAGAGAGGAGAGGAGGUGACCUUGGAGGAGGUGAAUUCAUAGGCAUCAUCUCCUAGACCUCACAGAGCAACCAGUGAAACCAUGCACAGGCUAUGAUGAUUCAUGCCCUGGGACUGGUGAUAUCACCUUUUGAAAUCCAACAGCCAGAAUCUCAUAUCCUGGGCUGAUGGAGAGCCCCAUGGGAUCUUACUAAGAGAGAGGAAAGAAAAUGUUCUUCUCUAUAUAAAACAGUUCAAUGAUGACUCAAUGGAAAAUGCAGCUUUAAAUACACCUGAUUUCUGUGCAAGUUCAUUAAAAGUAAUUAUGUUCAUGGUUGAACCAAACACAGAUACCUCCUAAAAAAAACAAUGAAAGUAAACAACAUUCUUUUCUACCAUACCUACAUAAAUGGCCACUCACUGUGGGCAGGUAGGCAGGCUAGUGCAAGGGAACAUAGGAAGAGAUCCCAGGUAAGUUGAGGAGACAGAAACUGAGAGGAGAAACUUGAGUGUGGAUCAAGGAUCCAGGAUACUGGAUGUUAGAGCCUGAUUCCAGAAGGGUUUGAUUAGAACCAAGAGGUCAAGAUGAGAACCAAAAUGUAGGGAAAUAAAUCCUCCUGGUCUGGCCAUGGAGCAGAGCUUACAAGAGAUAAAUACAUCCAACCUCCCAGGGGAGACAAGCAUUUGAAGAAAAUAAUUAGACCUUCAAUUUUCUCUAAGACAUUUUAUAAAGUUCAAUUGAAAUGAGGGGGGGUGGGCAAAUUGGAAAAUUCUGUGUAUAUUCAUAGAAAAAUGAAAGUAACAGCUAACAGACCAAUUACAUCUACUUUUGUUGCUGCCCUCCUCCCCAGUUUAUAAUAUAGCAGGGACUGGAAAGUUCAGAGAUUUAAUAACAGAGAAAUGCUAAAGACUGAAUUCCAAGACUCAUUCCUUUUUUUUUUUUUAAUUUCAAGUUUUUAUUUAAAUUGUAAUUAGUAAACAUAUAGUGUAAUAUUGUUUUCAGGGGUAGAAUUUAGAUUUGUAUCAUCACUUACAUGCAACACCCAGUGCUCAUCCCAAGUGUCCUUUUUAAUACUCAUCACCUGUCCACCCCGUCCCCCCUCCCACCUCCCCUCCAGCAACCCUCAGUUUAUUCUCCAUAGUUAAGAGUCUCUUAUGGUUUGCUUCCCGCUCUCUUUGUUUCCCUUCCCCUAUGUUUCUAUGUCUAGUGUUUCUUAAAUUCUACAUAUGAGUGAAAUGAUAUGGCAUUUGUGUUUCUCUGACUUGACUUAUUUUGCUUAGCAUAAUACACUCUAGUUAUAUCCAUGUCAUUGUAAAUGGCAAGAUUUCAUUCUUUUCGAUGGCUUAGUAAUAUUCCAUUAUCUAUCUA